rnacentral:lncRNA from 1 species
UUUGGACCAAGGACCUGACUGAAUUAUCUUUGGUUCGGCAGGAUCCAAUUUAAUUUUCUGGUUGGAACCGAAAUUUGAACAUAUGGAGUACUUUCAAUGGUUGGCUUUUUCUCAAUGGGAUCACAAGACAACAAUAUUGAAUUCCAUGGUGCAUGUAUAGGCAAAAUGCAUAUGAGGUUCUCUAAUUAGGAAUUGAAUAUUCAAGGGGUAUGUGGUAAAGGUAAAGGUCUAGAUGGAC